rnacentral:rRNA from 1 species
AGCAUCGGCUAACUCCGUGCCAGCAGCCGCGGUAAGACGGAGGAUGCAAGUGUUAUCCGGAAUCACUGGGCGUAAAGCGUCUGUAGGUGGUUUAAUAAGUCAACUGUUAAAUCUUGAGGCUCAACUUCAAAAUCGCAGUCGAAACUAUUAGACUAGAGUAUAGUAGAGGUAAAGGGAAUUUCCAGUGGAGCGGUGAAAUGCGUAGAUAUUGGAAAGAACACCGAUGGCGAAGGCACUUUACUGGGCUAUUACUGACACUCA